rnacentral:lncRNA from 1 species
GGGAGGCUAGGGAUAGCAAGCCGGUAAUUAGUAAUAGGCUUUUUUCGCCGAUGGAUCGGGUUAAGGGUAGGCCAAGAAAGUUUGCAUAGCAAUUAGAUAAUCAAGCACAUUAAACAAGAGGAGUAGAUAAGAGGGAGUGGAUUAGAUGAAAUUGUCAACCCCCAACAACUCCAUUCAUCCAUAGUCUUUUUCAUCAAUUGAAUCAAACACAUUGCAU